UGUACAUGAGAGGAGCUGCGCUCAAUGAUUCUGGACUGAAUGGCUGGAGGCAGGGCAUCAGAAUCAGAUGGACGUCCCCAAGGUGUUGGGGAGGAGCAGCAGACUCAUCAAGAUGUUUGUGGAAAGAGAAGACAGCCAGUUAACACAGACCUGCUCCAAAUGGCAUAACCUUUUGAACUUUGGCUCUGAAAAUUAAGUGUGUGCUCUGAAUGCAUGUUAAUAAAUACAUUUGACUGGUUUUCAGUGGAAGCCUUUAUCAGUGGGUAUAACUUAACAAAAAACUGUUACAAGGCAUUCACAUUCAAACUUAAACAUAGAAAUGGCAGUUGUGUCAAACAAAAGCACCAGUUCAUUAAUCACCAAUGCUGAUGCAGAAACAGUAUUAGUGAACUGUUAAAUGUUAUGAGCUAUAACCCAUCAUGAGAAAUACAAAUUGACCAUGGCAUUUCUAACGGCUCUUCCUGCUGGUUCAUCGGCUUGAUGUGGUGGUGGUGGCUGCAGCUGUGGUACCUCUGCUGUGAGUCACAUGUGACAGUAGCAAAUGGGGUCAUAAGCCAACGUAGAAGUGGGUAGCCACUGUCACCAAGGAGGAUGCCAUCCGGAACAGUUUGUUGAAAUCUUCUGUAGAGAUGACUUUCUCUUAAAAUCCGUGCAUCAUGUACAGAACCAGGCCAUCUCACAAAGCAGUUAGUUAUUUUAAGAUCUGCAUUUCCUAUGAGCUGCACAUUAAUACUAUGGCGUUCCUUUCUGUUCACAAAUUCCCAUUCUCUUUCAUAGGGUGCCUGAAUGUGUAUAUGUGUGCAGUCAAUGACACUCAUAGUAUUAGGCAUCCUGGCAAUUGAGAAGAAUUUUCUCUUAGUUUGAGUUUUUUUUCCCUCAUUAUCUGGAAAUCUCACAUACUGAUAAAUUAGACCAGCCAGGGCUGAUGCCACUGAAUGCAUUAUGUGUCCAACUGUAGACUUUGUCACAGCCAGGCCAUCUGCAAUAACUUCAUAAAAAGAUCCACAAGCAAAAAAAUGUAGGGCAGUAAGCACCUGCUCCUCCACAGUUAAGGCAUGACUCCUUCUGGUAGGAUGUUGUAGACGUGGGCGAAGAAUAUCACAAUUAUACAAAAUGUCUUCUCUUCCAAAUCUAUAGCGUGCAUAAAGCUCAUCAUUUGAGUACUGUUCAAUAAGAAUAGCUCGUUGGUUAUACUGACGAGGCUUGUAUCGUCUCUGACGGUGACGCAGAACAUGUACAAUGGAUGUCAUGUUGCAGAAGCAAAGGUCAUUGACCUUAACAAGCCCAGUUUUAAAGUAUGUGACAUGUGCUUUCACACCUGCUUUCAAUUUAGCUUCAUGGUAUAAAAGGCCUUUCUUAGGCCCUUUUUGGAGCUUUUAGUGGCCCUGGACAGAGUUCUGUCAUCCAAACUGAAAAAAAAAUAUGGGCUGACAUAACUAAGCAAGUUAAUGCCACUGGUAGUGGCCAACGGCGGAACAGGUUCGGCUUAGGUGGAAAAACCUAAAGCAGAAGGCCACCAAGGACCAUUCAGAGGCAAAAAAAAAAACCAAACAGGAAACAAGGCCAUAAAACUUGGUGAAUUCACAGAAACUGUUGGACAUAAUUGGAGGAGAGAGUUCCCAAGUCUUGUUUGGUAUACUGCCAGCUGGUACAGGGAAAUCAAUGGACCACACUGAACCUGUCGAGUGAAAUGAUCACCCUCACCCCUGUGGAGCUUGCGUUUGAAGAGCCCUGCAAAAGGCAGAGCCCUGUCUUGGAAGAGAUGGGGAAUCCACCACCACCACCACCACCACUUAAGCGCAAAAGGCAAGGAGGAUUAAUCCUGUGGGAUCAUUUUGAAAUACCGGCCCCUGGGGAGAAA